rnacentral:sRNA from 1 species
AGGAGGCAGCUGUUGCUGCACUCGCAUCCCUCUGUUCGUCUG